AUAUUGAUUUGCACUUUACCCUUCCAUGCACACUAUUUGGUUGGAGAUCUGCAUUUGGGGAAAUGCGGGUUUUGAGAGAGAGCUGUCUUGGAAAGUGCAAUUUUUAAUCCUAAACAAAACAUUUUCUACUCCAUCCAGUUAAUGGGCAAUAAGUCCCAUUGGAUUCAGCAAGGCUUUCUUCUGCAGAGGUGUGCACAGUAUAAAGCAAUGUGCAUUGUAAACCAGUUUCGGUAUUUCAUUAACACACUUGAUUAACCAAAUUACACCCUACUUUUCCUCCCAAAGGAACAGGAUUGAAAAUUCACCAACCAUGCUCUCUGAAAUUUCUCACUGAAAUUUAGGAUCCAUCUCACAGCUGCCAUGCAUCUAUGUGGCUAGCUAUUUGGUUAUUUAUUUAGAGCAUCUGCAGCAUGCUCCUCAGCCCAAAAGGCUGCCAGAGUGGCUCCAUAUGAUCAAAUCAAGACAGUGCCUACACUGCCUUUUACAAUCUAAAAAAAUAAAUAAUCCAUGACCCACAAGGGGAAAGAGACAGGGAGGUAAGAUGAAAGUCAAAAGCCAAAUUCAGGCACCAGUUUUUAAGCCGUUUUCUCUCUAAGGAGCAGCUGGGCCUCCCGCAAAGAUGGCCAAAUGAGCCCUGCUCAUGAGGCAAUCAGAUGGAACAGCUGCCUCCAGGUGACCCUGUUUAUUUGCCCUGACUGGUGUCAUUAGGCUUGCGUCAACCUCCCUCAAUAAAGCUGGGAGCUAGGGAACGUGAUGGUUCUGAAGGUCUGAGAUUCUCUGCAUUUGGUAGUGUUUCCUAAUAUCCAGUAGCAUGUGGGAUAACCAGCCUCAUAUAUCCAACAUGCUUAAAUCUAAUUAAUGUAAGCAGUAAGCUUUCCUGCCAGGCUUACCUCACCUUGGGAGAAACUAUUUUGUUCCCCACCUGAAAAGCUCAGCAUGUAAAGAGGUCUAAGGUGGUUGCUCCAUGCUCGGACUGUAUGGCUUUUACAAUCCAUUAUUGUGUUUCUAUACCAAUAAUUUAGGAAUUUUCACGACUCUAACUAAGCCAAGCUUUACUGCCUAUGUUUUCUGACUGGUGUGUGGAAAAGCACAUGAAUCUGACGUUUGGAGAGUUUAUAACAAUUUUGAACUUACCAAACACAUGGUCUUUUUCUAUGCUGUAAGAAGAGGGGAACUUUGGAAGGAACUUAGAAGGGCAUAGUUUCAAGAUCUAAUAGCCUGUAUUCCCACACUUCGUUGCAUAAUUUGUAUUUUUAAAUCUCAACACUGCAAGGGCUCUUAUAACAUAAAGGGAAAACUUGAGACCACUUGUCCCUCAAUCAGAGGAGCAAAGUAAGGAUGAGGCAUGUUGAAAACAAAACUGGGAUCUUUUUUUUUCCCACAAGUAAAUUUUAUUGUUUUCCUUACAUAUUCUUUUCCCACAAAUUGUAUCAACACCAUACAUUCCCUUUGACUCUGCCGAGUCGCGACCCCCGUCCCUCCCCACAACCGGUAUAUUUAACCCCUUUCCAUCGCGCACAUCAUUCUCAUAUUAGUACUAUUAUACAUUGGAGGUAUUAUGUCAAUCCUGCUAGUGUUUUGACCUCUUUACAGUUCUUCUUUAAAUAUUCAAUAAAUUUACUCCAGUUAUUUUGGUAUCUUUGAUCUUCCUGGUCCCGGAUCCUCCCUGACAGUUUGGCAAGCUCUGCAUAUUCUGUCACCUUCACCUGCCACUCCUGGAUAGUUGGUAUAUCUUGUACUUUCCAUCUUUGGGUCAGAAGGGUUCUCGCGGCAGCUGUAGCAUACAUGAACAAAUUUUGAUCUCCCAUUUUAAUUUCUGUUCCUAUUAAACCUAAUAGACACACUUCUGGUCUUUUAGGGAAAGUACCGUAUUUUUUGCACCAUAACACUCACUUUUUUCCUCCUAAAAAGUAAGGGGAAAUGUCUGUGCGUGUUAUGGAGGGAAUGCCUACGGGUGGCAGGCCUACGGAUUUUCCUUCUCUAAAAACUACGUGCGUGUUAUGGUCGGGUGCGUGUUAUAGAGCGGAAAAUCCAGUAUAUCUAAAUAUUUUUUUGAGUUCGUUAGAAAUUGAUUCCCAAAAAUUUUUUACCUUAUCGCAGGUCCACCACAUAUGGAAAUAGUCCCCAUCUGCCUUUUUACAUUUCCAACACUUUCUUUCUUUUCUUCUAUACAUUUUAACUAAUUUUACUGGCGUCAAAUGCCAUCUAUACAUCAUUUUAAGCAAGUUUUCCUUUAAAGCCAUGCAUCCUGUGAAUCUCGAACC
rnacentral:lncRNA from 1 species